GUGGGGAAUCUUGCACAAUGGGGGAAACCCUGAUGCAGCGACGCCGCGUGAGCGAUGAAGCCCUUCGGGGUGUAAAGCUCUUUCGACGGGAACGAUGAUGACGGUACCCGGAGAAGAAGCUGCGGCUAACUACGUGCCAGCAGCCGCGGUAAUACGUAGGCAGCAAGCGUUGUUCGGAGUUACUGGGCGUAAAGAGUGCGUAGGCGGUUUCGCAAGUUUGGUGUGAAAUCUCCCGGCUUAACCGGGAGGGUGCGCCGAAAACUGCGGAGCUCGAGUGUGGGAGAGGCAGGCGGAAUUCCUGGUGUAGCGGUGAAAUGCGUAGAUAUCAGGAGGAACACCGGCGGUGUAGACGGCCUGCUGGACCACGACUGACGCUGAGGCACGAAAGCGUGGGGAGCAAACAGGAUUAGAUACCCCUGUAGUCC
rnacentral:rRNA from 1 species